UACGGGGGGAGCAAGCGUUGUUCGGAUUUACUGGGCGUAAAGGGCGCGUAGGCGGUCGUGACAAGUCACUUGUGAAAUCUCCGGGCUUAACUCGGAACGGUCAAGUGAUACUGUCGGACUAGAGUACAGAAGGGGCAACUGGAAUUCUUGGUGUAGCGGUGAAAUGCGUAGAUAUCAGGAGGAACACCGGUGGCGAAGGCGGGACUCUGGGCCGAUACUGACGCUGAGGAGCGAAAGCGUGGGGAGCAAACAGG
rnacentral:rRNA from 1 species